rnacentral:misc_RNA from 1 species
CUGUCCGCUCUUUUCCCUCUCUUCUCUCAUUUCUAUCGAGCUCUCCCUCUACUUCUCUUCAAAGCUUGUUCUUCAAUCCCGACCGAAGUCUUCUUACCCUAAUUGGUUUUGCAUUUUUUUUAAUCUUCUGGAUUGAAGAUUGGCUGUUCAAGGCUGAGGGACUCAAAUGGCUGACCAGCGGAACCCUAGCGGGGCCCAAAAUGCUUAUAAUAUUAACACCGAUAAGUUCAAAAUACGGCUUCAGUCUUUGUACUCGCAUUGGAAUGAACAUAAGGAUGAACUAUGGGGGUCUGCUGAUGCUCUAGCAAUAGCUACGCCGCCGCCUUCAGAUGAUUUGCGGUACCUGAAAUCGUCUGCUAUGAACGUUUGGUUGCUGGGUUAUGAGUUCCCAGAGACUAUAAUGGUAUUCACGAAGAAGCAGAUCCAUUUCUUGUGUAGCCAGAAGAAGGCUUCCUUGCUUGAAGUUGUCAGGGCGCCUGCUCGGGAUGUUGCAGGGGGUUUAGAUGUUACUAUUCAUGUCAAGGCAAAGGGUGAUGAUGGGACUGCAUUAAUGGAAGCUGUAUUUCGUGCUAUUCUUGCUCAGCCGAAUGCCAGUGUUAUUGGAUACAUAGCCAAGGAGGCUCCUGAAGGUACUCUUUUAGAGACUUGGGCUGAGAAAUUGAAGACUGCCGGUUUCCAGCAGAUUGCAGAUAUAACCAAUGGGUUUUCUGACCUGCUUGCUGUGAAGGAUGCUGAAGAAAUCUUGAAUGUGAAGAAAGCUGCAUAUUUGAGUGUUAGUGUGAUGAGCAAUGUUGUCAUCCCCACUCUUGAGAAUGCUAUUGAUGAGGAGAAGAAAGUUACCCAUUCUUAUUUGAUGGAUGAGGCUGAGAAGGCCAUAAUGGAUCCUGCCAAAGCUAAGGCAAAGUUAAAAGCAGAGAAUUGUGAUAUAUGUUACCCUCCAAUAUUUCAGAGUGGGGGGGAGUUUGAUCUCAGACCUAGUGCUGCCAGCAAUGACGAGUACCUCUACUAUGAUCCUGCCAGUGUCAUUAUAGUUGCUAUUGGAGCCCGAUAUAACAAUUACUGCUCAAAUCUUGCCAGGACUUUCUUGAUUGAUGCCAAUACAAUGCAGACUAAGGCUUAUGAGGUUCUGCUCAAAGCCCAUGAAGCAGCAAUUGGUGCAUUGAAGCCUGGGAACAAGAUUAGUGCUGCAUAUCAAGCAGCCAUGUCAGUGGUUGAGAAAGAGGCUCCUGACUUAGUUCCAAAUCUGACAAAAUCAGCAGGGACUGGAAUUGGUCUUGAGUUCCGAGAGUCUGGACUGAAUAUUAAUGCCAAGAAUGAUCGAGUCCUGAAGCCAAAUAUGGUUUUUAAUGUGUCACUUGGUUUUCAGAACUUACAGAACCAAACAAAUAACCCUAAGAUCCAGAAUUUUUCUUUAUUAGUUGCUGAUACAAUUAUUGUAGGCCAAACAAAUCCAGAAGUGGGAACUUGUAAGAGCUCCAAAGCUGUUAAGGAUGUGGCAUACUCGUUCAGUGAAGAGGAUGAAGAAGUAAAACCAGAACCUAAACCUGUUGUUAAUGGCACAAAAGCCUUCAUUUCCAAGACAACACUAAGGUCUGAUACUGGGGAGAUCUCCAAAGAGGAAAUUCGGCGGCAGCACCAGGCUGAGCUUGCCCGUCAAAAGAAUGAAGAAACUGCACUUCGGCUUGCUGGUGGAGGAAGUGCAACAGGUGAUAACCGUUCAGCUGCAAAGACUUCAACUGAUUUGACAGCGUACAAGAAUGUCAAUGAUAUUCCUUCUGGAAGAGAUCUAAUGAUUCAGAUAGACCAGAAGAAUGAGGCAGUUCUUUUGCCUGUUUAUGGGAGUAUGGUACCUUUCCAUGUUGCUACAAUAAGGACAGUUUCCAGCCAGCAGGACACCAACAGAAAUUGCUAUAUUCGCAUAAUAUUUAAUGUGCCAGGAACUCCUUUUAGUCCGCAUGAUGCAAAUUCGCUGAAGUACCAGGGGGCCAUUUACCUGAAGGAGGUGUCAUUUCGCUCCAAGGACCCUAGGCACAUUAGUGAAGUGGUACAGCAGAUUAAGACACUUAGACGGCAUGUUGUGGCCAGGGAGUCUGAGAGGGCUGAGAGGGCAACCUUGGUUACUCAGGAGAAACUUCAGCUUGCUGGGAACAGAUUCAAACCAAUAAGGCUGUUGAACCUUUGGAUCCGUCCAGUAUUUGGUGGCCGGGGAAGAAAACUUCCUGGUGCUCUGGAAGCUCAUGUAAAUGGGUUUAGAUUUUCAACAAGUAGAAAUGAUGAGCGUGUGGAUAUUAUGUUUGCAAACAUCAAACAUGCAUUUUUCCAGCCUGCAGAGAGGGAAAUGAUCACUCUUCUCCACUUUCAUCUGCACAAUCAUAUCAUGGUGGGGAACAAGAAGACCAAGGACGUGCAGUUUUAUAUUGAAGUGAUGGAAUCAGUCCAGACU